AUUGAACGCUGGCGGCAUGCCUUACACAUGCAAGUCGAACGCGAAAGCGGGGCAACCCGCAAGUAGAGUGGCGAACGGGUGAGUAAUACAUCGGAACAUAUCCAGUAGCGGGGGAUAACCUGUCGAAAGAUAGGCUAAUACCGCAUACGACCUACGGGUGAAAGCGGAGGACCGCAAGGCUUCGCACUAUUGGAGUGGCCGAUGUCGGAUUAGCUAGUUGGCGGGGUAACGGCCCACCAAGGCGACGAUCCGUAGCUGGUCUGAGAGGACGACCAGCCACACGGGAACGGGGACACGGUCCAGACCCCUACGGGAGGCAGCAGUGGGGAAUUUUGGACAAUGGGCGCAAGCCUGAUCCAGCCAUGCCGCGUGAGUGAAGAAGGCCUUCGGGUUGUAAAGCUCUUUCGGCGGGAACGAAAAGGUUCGUGCUAAUACCACGGACUAAUGACGGUACCCGAAGAAGAAGCACCGGCUAACUACGUGCCAGCAGCCGCGGUAA
rnacentral:rRNA from 1 species